rnacentral:rRNA from 1 species
CCUACGGGCGGCAGCAGUGGGGAAUAUUGGACAAUGGGGGCAACCCUGAUCCAGCCAUGCCGCGUGUGUGAAGAAGGCCCUCGGGUUGUAAAGCACUUUCAGUGAGGAAGAACGCCUGGUGGUUAAUACCCAUCAGGAAAGACAUCACUCACAGAAGAAGCACCGGCUAACUCCGUGCCAGCAGCCGCGGUAAUACGGAGGGUGCGAGCGUUAAUCGGAAUUACUGGGCGUAAAGCGCGCGUAGGUGGCUUGAUAAGCCGGUUGUGAAAGCCCCGGGCUCAACCUGGGAACGGCAUCCGGAACUGUCAAGCUAGAGUGCAGGAGAGGAAGGUAGAAUUCCCGGUGUAGCGGUGAAAUGCGUAGAGAUCGGGAGGAAUACCAGUGGCGAAGGCGGCCUUCUGGACUGACACUAACACUGAGGUGCGAAAGCGUGGGUAGCAAACAGGAUUAGAUACCCCAGUAGUC